rnacentral:rRNA from 1 species
AAAUUGAAGAGUUUGAUCAUGGCUCAGAUUGAACGCUGGCGGCAGGCCUAACACAUGCAAGUCGAACGGUAACAGGAAGCAGCUUGCUGCUUCGCUGACGAGUGGCGGACGGGUGAGUAAUGUCUGGGAAACUGCCUGAUGGAGGGGGAUAACUACUGGAAACGGUGGCUAAUACCGCAUAACGUCGCAAGACCAAAGAGGGGGACCUUCGGGCCUCUUGCCAUCAGAUGUGCCCAGAUGGGAUUAGCUUGUUGGUGAGGUAACGGCUCACCAAGGCGACGAUCCCUAGCUGGUCUGAGAGGAUGACCAGCCACACUGGAACUGAGACACGGUCCAGACUCCUACGGGAGGCAGCAGUGGGGAAUAUUGCACAAUGGGCGCAAGCCUGAUGCAGCCAUGCCGCGUGUAUGAAGAAGGCCUUCGGGUUGUAAAGUACUUUCAGCGGGGAGGAAGGUGUUGCGGUUAAUAACCGCAGCAAUUGACGUUACCCGCAGAAGAAGCACCGGCUAACUCCGUGCCAGCA